rnacentral:misc_RNA from 1 species
UUGGCAAAGAGUUGCGCCUCUUUGUACACACGUUUUGAUAUCAAUGACAGUAAAUACGGAUAAUGAACGCCAGUAAUUAUAUGCAAUGAUGACAUGACGCUGCAUUAACAGGUUUUCCAUAGUGACGAGCUAUAGAGAGGAUCAAAAUGGAAACACAGCAUUCAGCCAAGUUCUUCAACUCUUUCUUAGAACAUGUCCAGCUUUUGUGCAAGUCUUACUUAACCUUUGGGGAGGUCGUUGAGGUCAGUGGUUACAUUUGUCUUGACAUUGACAACAGCAAGAAGGAGCGGUACGUUCUCAGUGAGUUGAUUCAGAAACAGGGGCAGACGGUCAGUGAAAGCUUCUGUACCAAGGUGCUGAAGACGGUUCAGGGGGCUGGUGUUAAGAGUGCCCAUCAAACAACAUUGAUGGAUGUGCAAGAUAAGGAGAAUACUCCGAGAGAUGGAUCUGUGACUCAGCACCGAUGUGGUAGCGAGGAGACACAGCAGAAGGAAGACAGUGUCAGGCCACAGUAUGUUUCCAGGCAGAGAAUCAUGGAGUCUGUGUUCCCGAGCCGCGAUGUCAAUGAGAGUGUGAGGCAGGAGGCGAGCAUGUUGAGAAGAGUUGACUCGACUGAACCGACGCACACAGAGCCACUGGACACUGCAGCUCCUGACAGUGCAGGGCAUCAACCGCUCAAAGCGGAGUCAGAUGACCCUGAUGAAAAUAUUGAAAUCAAACAGGAAGUUUGUGAGGAUGAGGUUAUACAAGGCAGUUCUGGGCUUUGUAACCAAGGUAACCGAGGCUCUUGGCUGACCUCUCUAGGAGCCCAACAGUUGAAAGAAAGAAUAAAUAUUGUCAGUAAUGCAAAAAUGUCUUUGCAGAAACAUUCAAGUCAGUCAGUAAGCUCCAGCAGGAUCACCAGGCCUGAGACUCAAGACAGACAGUAUCACGUGCCGCCGAUAUCCACCAUAUUUUCACCAUCAGCAACGGCCACAAGUUCAGUUUCAAACGCAAUGCCUGUGAAUAUGUUGAGACCAGGAAUGUUCAUGACCUCCAGAACAAAUGGUUUGCUGUCAACUUCCAGUGCAACACAAAAUGCAUCCUUUCCUUUCCAGAACGUCAUUGGGAGAGGGCAUAUGGAGGAGUCCAGGUUGGAGGGAGCAGACGUGGACUGGGGUGAAGGUCACGCAGUCGCUGCACAGCAGUCGCUGUUUGGACUCGGUACGAACUACCAGGUGCAUGACUUGAUCAACACGCCUUGCAGAUGGUCUCGCAAGAGGAGAGGAAAUCCAACGUAUCGCGUAAAACAGAACUGGAGAUAUGCUGUGCGUCAGUUUGAGAACUUCCUACGCUUCAAGGGCCAGGAGGUGAUACCAAUUAACACUAUCCCUGCCUCACAGCUGGAUGGCAUGUUGUGCGAGUUCCUCCAGUGGGUCAAGAAGAGUAAUGGGGAGGACUUUCAUCCUUGGUCCAUGAAGAACUUCUUCUAUCAUUUAGAAUGUCACUUGAAGGAGGCUGGGUAUGCUAACUCUAUCACUAAAGACGUGGAAUUUCAGAACUCUCGGGAUGUCCUCAAGAGAAGAAUCACUGAACUCCAGUUGAGGCUUCACCCAUCAAGCCUCUGAAUGUGUCCUUGGUGUCAUACAGGUGCCCAUGGUGUCAUGCAGGUGUCCAUGGUGUCAUGCAUGUGCCCAUGGUGUGCAUGAGGUGUCAUGCAGGUGCCUGUGGUAUCAUGCAGGUGUCAUGAAGGUGUCCAUGGUGUAAUGAAGGUGUCAAUGAUGCCAAGUUGGUGUCAUGCAUGUGCCCAUGGUGUCAUGAAGGUGUCAAUGGUGCCAAGUUGGUGUCAUGCAGGUGUCCAUUGUGUCAUGAAGGUGUCGGUGUCAAUGGCAUCAUGCAGGUGUCCAUGGUGGAUAGCAGGUAUCUGGCAUCUUGUAGAUUUCCAUGGAGUUGUACAUAUUUCCAUAAGAUUCAUGCCCCCCCCCCUUUGUCUGUUUGAAAGGAACAUUAUUAAGCGUGUUGUUCGUGUACAUCAUCAUGUAUAUUAUCAGAGUAAUGAACAAAGAUUUGAAAGAUGUCUGUACAUAAUCUAAACACAAUGUAUGUGUCAUGUUGUGAACUGUGUUGGUGAAAUAAAAUUAAGAUUACUUUAUGAACCAUCCAGGUUUCCCUAGAUUCUAUCAGGUUUGCAAUAGACCAGACAGGUUUCCAUAUUGCUAUUCAGGUUUCCAUGGAGUGAAUCAGGUUUACAUGGAGCCGUGCAGGUGGAGUUUUCGUGGAGUCGUGCAGAUGACCAGAUCAACUGGUGUUUUGUGUUGCCAUGGCUACUGUUGCAUACUGAAAGAAUCCCAUGGAUAUUUUGUUUUCAGGGUUCCAUGCCUAAACUCCAUUGAUUCAGUGCUAUCAUCAGUGUGAUGAGUGCGUAUCUCAUUCUAUCAUUGUGUCUACGUUGUGGUUGACAUGAACAAAAUGUAAAGGACCUCCAAAACAUUUGUGAUAUAUUUUAACAAUUGUUGCCAUGGUUGCAGGACAACCAUCACUGUUUUUGUUUGCGCCAACUGGUUCAACAAGGUCGUGGAAAGGUCAGCAAAAGCCUGAAAAAAGAAUUGUGAUGACAAUCUGCUGAAUAGUUCCAGACAGAUUUCAAGGGGCAAGAAGAGGCUGUGACACUUUGUUACAAAGAAUAAGAAGUUUCAUUAAAAGAGUGUCAUCUAUUCUUCUCGAUUAGAUGUUCAACUCUACGCAUGAUUGUAAUUCAAUAUGUAUUAUAUUAUUAUCAAAAUGAGAAGAUUGAGUAGGUUUUUUCCCACUUUGAUACCGCUCUGAGCUGUUGUGUCCUACACAAGUGAAGGAAAGGAUGUGUAUUUUUUACAGUAGUGUUGUGAAAAGUCAUCCAGGCCUAGUGGUAUGUUUUAUUCAGAAAGUGUACAUGUUGAAAUUUGCCAAAUCUGAAAGAGCAAUAUUUGUGUUUCAUAAGUGUAUGCACCAUGUAUGAUAUAUAUUAGUUCUAGGUAACCUUACAAUGUGUUAUUUGGUUGAUUAUUAGCGUAAGCUAUACGAUGAGUUCCUGAAAUAUAUACUAGUUGUAAGAGAUAA